UAGGGAAUCUUCGGCAAUGGACGGAAGUCUGACCGAGCAACGCCGCGUGAGUGAAGAAGGUUUUCGGAUCGUAAAGCUCUGUUGUUAGAGAAUAACGUUGGCAGGAGUGGAAAAUCUACCAAGUGACGGUAACUAACCAGAAAGGGACGGCUAACUACGUGCCAGCAGCCGCGGUAAUACGUAGGUCCCGAGCGUUGUCCGGAUUUAUUGGGCGUAAAGCGAGCGCAGGCGGUUCUUUAAGUCUGAAGUUAAAGGCAGUGGCUUAACCAUUGUACGCUUUGGAAACUGGAGGACUUGAGUGCAGAAGGGGAGAAUGGAAUUCCAUGUGUAACGGUGAAAUGCGUAGAUAUAUGGAGGAACACCGGUGGCGAAAGCGGCUCUCUGGUCUGUAACUGACGCAGAGGCUCGAAAGCGUUGGGUGCAAACAGG
rnacentral:rRNA from 1 species